rnacentral:misc_RNA from 1 species
GAUGAAGAACGUAGCGAAAUGCGAUACGUAAUGUGAAUUGCAGAAUUCAGUGAAUCAUCGAGUCUUUGAACGCCCAUUGCGUCCCCUGGUAUUCCGGGGGGCAUGCCUGUCCGAGCGUCAUUGCUGCCCUCAAGCACGGCUUGUGUGUUGGGCCUCCGUCCUCCUCCCGGGGGACGGGCCCGAAAGGCAGCGGCGGCACCGCGUCCGGUCCUCGAGCGUAUGGGGCUUCGUCACCCGCUCUUGUAGGCCCGGCCGGCGCUUGCCGACACAUCAAUCUUUUUUCCAGGUUGACCUCGGAUCAGGUAGGGAUACCCGCUGAACUUAAGCAUAUCAAUAAGCGGAGGA